AGAGCUCGUAGGCGGUUUGUCGCGUCUGCCGUGAAAGUCCGGGGCUCAACUCCGGAUCUGCGGUGGGUACGGGCAGACUAGAGUGAUGUAGGGGAGACUGGAAUUCCUGGUGUAGCGGUGAAAUGCGCAGAUAUCAGGAGGAACACCGAUGGCGAAGGCAGGUCUCUGGGCAUUAACUGACGCUGAGGAGCGAAAGCAUGGGGAGCGAACAGGAUUAGAUACCCUGGUAGUCCAUGCCGUAAACGUUGGGCACUAGGUGUGGGGGACAUUCCACGUUUUCCGCGCCGUAGCUAACGCAUUAAGUGCCCCGCCUGGGGAGUACGGCCGCAAGGCUAAAACUCAAAGGAAUUGACGGGGGCCCGCACAAGCGGCGGAGCAUGCGGAUUAAUUCGAUGCAACGCGAAGAACCUUACCAAGGCUUGACAUGGACUGGAAAUACCUGGAAACAGGUGCCCCGCUUGCGGUCGGUUCACAGGUGGUGCAUGGUUGUCGUCAGCUCGUGUCGUGAGAUGUUGGGUUAAGUCCCGCAACGAGCGCAACCCUCGUUCUAUGUUGCCAGCGCGUGAUGGCGGGACUCAUAGGAGACUGCCGGGGUCAACUCGGAGGAAGGUGGGGACGACGUCAAAUCAUCAUGCCCCUUAUGUCUUGGGCUUCACGCAUGCUACAAUGGCCGGUACAAAGGGUUGCGAUACUGUGAGGUGGAGCUAAUCCCAAAAAGCCGGUCUCAAGUCCGAUUGGGGUCUGCAACUCGACCCCAUGAAGUCGGAGUCGCUACCAAUCGCAGAUCAACAACGCUGCGGCGAAUACGUUCCCGGGCCUUGUACACACCGCCCGUCAAGUCACGAAAGUGCUAACACCCGAAGCCGAGGCCUAACCCCCUUG
rnacentral:rRNA from 1 species